UGCAGAUGAUGUAAAAGAAUAUUUGCUAUAUGAAAGAUGGUGAUUACACCUUAAACCACCAAGAUCACUGAUGCA